UGGGGAAUAUUGCACAAUGGGGGAAACCCUGAUGCAGCGACGCCGCGUGAGCGAAGAAUGCUUUCGAGUCGUAAAGCUCUGUCCUAUGAGAAGAUAAUGACGGUAUCAUAGGAGGAAGCCCUGUCUAAAUACGUGCCAGCAGCCGCGGUAAUACGUAGGUGGCAAGCGUUGUCCGGAAUUAUUGGGCGUAAAGCGCGCGCAGGCGGCUACUUAUGUCCAUCUUAAAAGUGCGGGGCUUAACCCCGUGAUGAGAUGGAAACUGACAAGCUGGAGUGUCGGAGAGGAAAGUGGAAUUCCUAGUGUAGCGGUGAAAUGCGUAGAGAUUAGGAAGAACACCGGUGGCGAACGCGACUUUCUGGACGACAACUGACGCUUAGGCGCGAAAGCGUGGGGAGCAAACAGG
rnacentral:rRNA from 1 species